AUGUCCACACAUAUCCACUUUAUAAACAUGAGUGUACAUGUUAUACAUGCCCACUUUAUAACUACACCUGUCCAUGUUAUACAUGUCCACACAUUCCCACUUUAUAACCACAUCUGUCCAUGUUAUACAUGUCCACACAUGUCCACUUUAUAUACAACGCCUGUCAAUGUUAUAUAUGUUCACUUUGUAAUCACACCUUUAAGAACAGGGGAUAGGCUCAUCAGUGUGAGCCACAUGCUGACAGACAGACACACACACACACACUCUCGGGUAUCAUUAUUCCUGUUACCAGCAGGAUUACAUGUUGAAACAGCAGUGUGGCACGGCACCUGUUGUUUGUCUCAGGUGUAAAACUGGAUUCCACUGAGACACGGUUGUGCCUAAUGUCACAACAAUGAUCACCAUUUCCUUGCCGAACUUAACAACACCGGCCCAAGAACUAGAGGGAGAGAACGCAGACACAUCCAGCUCUCGCAGUAGAGAUGUCCAGCAGGGCUACCGCAGUCCAUCCUCACCAGACUCUCAAAAGUACUUUCAAACCGAAAAGCAAAAAUGAAGUGAAGCGAUGUGAUAAAAUGCAGCACAGCAAAACGGUGACACAACAAAAUGUGUCCUCUGUAUUUAACCAUCACCUUAGUGAGCAGUUGGCAGCAGUGAAAGGAGCCCGGGGAGCAGUGUGUGGUGACGGUGCCUUCAUCAAGGGGACCUCAGUGGCACCUUGGUGGUUCAGGAUUUGAACCUACAACCUGCUAGGCCACCACUGCCCCAUCUCUGUAUUUUGGUUAAUGAUGCGGUUCUUCCUGUGAUUUCUGAUCCGGCAGAAGCCGUUAUUAAAAGUUUCUUUCUUUAUUUUCCACUGCAGGAGGCCUUUCCAGACACGCCGCUCACUGUCGGUGUCCACCUGUUGUGUUCUGUGUUACAUGAUCUACCAACAUAAGGGUGUGGAGAAUGUUUCUGCAUUGUUUGCGUUGUUACUAAAGUUUAAUAAAAACCACACUGAAGUCUGAAUUAAUAUGCA
rnacentral:lncRNA from 1 species